UCUUGUGCUAAAAAGUAGAUGCCUUUCAGAAGACGUUAAUAUAGCCUUUCAAAUAAUUUGUUUGGAAGGAUCAAUCAUGCACCCUGCUUUCAAAGGUUUGGAAUUGUGGUUGGAGAAUUUUACCCCCAAUAGCUGAGUCUAAGGGUAGGAGAAAGGUAAGAGACUUUAUUCAUGUGUAGUUUUUCUUAUCAUUGUAUGCAAAUUUAAGGAUUAAACUUUAAGGAGACUGUAUAAGACACUUCUUAAACUAGAAAGUGCGUGGGAGAACAAACGGUAAUGAGCUGUGUAUAUAUAUAUCUUUUUCUUUUUUAAAUUAUAGUGGUUGGCACUUACCAUGGUUCCCCAGACCAGUCCCAUCAAGUGACUGGUAACCACCAGCAGCCUCCUCAGCAGAACACUGGAUUUCCACGUAGCAAUCAGCCCUAUUACAAUAGUCGUGGUGUGUCUCGUGGAGGCUCCCGUGGUGCUAGAGGCUUGAUGAAUGGAUACCGGGGCCCUGCCAAUGGAUUCAGAGGAGGAUAUGAUGGUUACCGCCCUUCAUUCUCUAACACUCCAAACAGUGGUUAUACACAGUCUCAGUUCAGUGCUCCC
rnacentral:sRNA from 1 species